CGGGUGAGUAACACGUGGAUAACCUACCUAUAAGACUGGGAUAACUUCGGGAAACCGGAGCUAAUACCGGAUAAUAUAUUGAACCGCAUGGUUCAAUAGUGAAAGACGGUUUUGCUGUCACUUAUAGAUGGAUCCGCGCCGCAUUAGCUAGUUGGUAAGGUAACGGCUUACCAAGGCAGCGAUGCGUAGCCGACCUGAGAGGGUGAUCGGCCACACUGGAACUGAGACACGGUCCAGACUCCUACGGGAGGCAGCAGAG
rnacentral:rRNA from 1 species